rnacentral:rRNA from 1 species
UACGGAGGAUGCAAGCGGUAUCCGGAAUCAUUGGGUUUAAAGGGUCCGCAGGCGGGUUGUUAAGUCAGGGGUGAAAUCUUACAGCUCAACUGUAAAAUUGCCUUUGAUACUGGCAAUCUUGAAUCAUUGUGAAGUGGUUAGAAUGUGUAGUGUAGCGGUGAAAUGCUUAGAUAUUACACAGAAUACCGAUUGCGAAGGCAGAUCACUAACAAUGUAUUGACGCUCAGGGACGAAAGCGUGGGGAGCAAACAGG